rnacentral:rRNA from 1 species
AUUGAACGCUGGCGGCAGGCCUAACACAUGCAAGUCGAGCGGCAGCGGGAAAGUAGCUUGCUACUUUUGCCGGCGAGCGGCGGACGGGUGAGUAAUGCCUGGGAAAUUGCCCAGUCGAGGGGGAUAACAGUUGGAAACGACUGCUAAUACCGCAUGCGCCCUACGGGGGAAAGCGGGGGACCGUAAGGCCUCGCGCGAUUAGAGCGGCCGAUAUCUGAUUAGCUUGUUGGUGGGGUAAAAGCCCACCAAGGCGACGAUCAGUAGCUGGUCUGAGAGGACGAUCAGCCACACUGGGACUGAGACACGGCCCAGACUCCUACGGGAGGCAGCAGUGGGGAAUUUUGGACAAUGGGGGCAACCCUGAUCCAGCAAUGCCGCGUGAGUGAAGAAGGCCUUCGGGUUGUAAAGCUCUUUUGUCAGGGAAGAAACAGCAGCUCUAACACAGUCUGCGAAUGACGGUACCUGAAGAAUAAGCACCGGCUAACUACGUG